UAUUAGCGGAUAAUGGGUUAGGGAUUGCAGCGGCAUCCUUUUUGCAAAGGUUUUAAAGCCUAUUUUUGGGUUAAACCUGAUGUUUAAUUGGUGUUUGAUUCUUAAAAAUAAUUAAAGAAGGCUUUGUAAAAAGAUAUAGCGGAAAGCCCGACCUCGC
rfam:Algibacter lectus DNA, contig: contig00010, strain: JCM 19300.